CCAUGCAUUCCUAUUUUUAAAAAGGGACAAAAAUAAAAUUUAUAUAUAAUAACAGGGUGAUACAAAUGAGAAAAACUCAAGAAAUUGUUUUCAAUUAAGAUAAAUACAUGCAGUUAAUAAUGGUUUCCAGUUGUUUUUUAAAGCAGAGGCAGAUUUAGUUUAAAGUUGGAAAAAAUUGUUUGUACCAACAAAAAUAAAUACACGAAGUUAAUCCAGAAUUAUGUGUUUAUCAUUUUUUUUUUUAUGUUUAGGUUGCCAGCAAGAUGAAAAGAACAAUGCAGUUCAAAAGUCAAAAUGUGGAUAAGCUGCGGUACAAGGUCCUACUUUUGCAGAUUUUCAUAUUUUGCAUGAAUGAAUUUGAAGUUUAUAUCAUGGAGGGCAGAGAAAGAAAAGAAACACUUCAAUUUUCCUGCUUCUGAAAGAUCUUGUUCGAAGGAUUGAAAUUCAUCACUUAGAAUAAAAAGAGAAAACACAGAAACAAGACCAAAUUAAAUUCAAAGACAAAAGUCAGAUCAGUUAUUAUUUUCAUCACUCAGUCAAUGAAUUGAAGUUCUAUUAAAUAUCUAAAGAUAUUAAAACCACAAUAAAGACUAUGUUCUGUGCUGAAUGGCCAAAAAGUGGACUAUACAUUACGAUCACACAAUGCUGGAUGAUAAGAAACUAUUAAUUUUUUGGGUAGAGGGAUAUCCUGAAAAAAAAAUAGAUUUAUGUAAAAAGCUACUAGUAUGUUAAGCCUAUUAAUAGAGUUUUCAUUGAUUUCAAAUGGGAAAAAUUGUGUUUCAAAAAAGUAUUCUAGAAUUCAUAAAUAAACAUAUAUUGAUACUUACA